CUGGGAAGGGUUGCAAUGUAAGCCUUUGAAAGCCAGUGAGAACAAGGAAGAUGUUGGGGAUAAUUCAGACAGAAAUUCCCAGUGACUUUGCAAGCUUCUAUUAGUAUGGCUCCAUCUGAAGAAGAAUGUGGUAGUUACCUCAGUACACUGAAGUUGGAUAGAAACGACAUGGGGAGCCAACCUUGCUAUUCCUGCAACCAGUUUUUACAAGUUUUAGCUAUAUAGGUUAAAUAAUUUUAACUGAUAUUCAUAUUGUAUUUUAAUAUUGUUAAGCCCUUAUGGUGAAAGAUGGACAAGAAAUUUGAAUAAUAAAAAUAAAAGCUAAUACAAAAUAAUGA